rnacentral:rRNA from 1 species
CACGUAGGGCGCAAGCGUUGUCCGGAAUCAUUGGGCGUAAAGAGCUCGUAGGCGGUCUGUCGCGUCUGCUGUGAAAAUCCAGGGCUUAACCCUGGGCCUGCAGUGGAUACGGGCAGACUAGAGGCAGGUAGGGGAGAAUGGAAUUCCCGGUGUAGCGGUGAAAUGCGCAGAUAUCGGGAGGAACACCGGUGGCGAAGGCGGUUCUCUGGGCCUGACCUGACGCUGAGGAGCGAAAGCGUGGGGAGCGAACAGG